rnacentral:rRNA from 1 species
UCUCUUGAGUGGAUCCUGAGUACGACGGAGCACGUGAAAUUCCGUCGGAAUCUGGGAGGACCAUCUCCUAAGGCUAAAUACUCUCUAGUGACCGAUAGUGAACCAGUACCGUGAGGGAAAGGUGAAAAGCACCCCGGAAGGGGAGUGAAAUAGAACCUGAAACCGUGUGCUUACAAGUAGUCAGAGCCCGUUAAUGGGUGAUGGCGUGCCUUUUGUAGAAUGAACCGGCGAGUUACGAUUUGAUGCAAGGUUAAGCAGUAAAUGUGGAGCCGUAGCGAAAGCGAGUCUGAAUAGGGCGUUUAGUAUUUGGUCGUAGACCCGAAACCAGGUGAUCUACCCUUGGUCAGGUUGAAGUUCAGGUAACACUGAAUGGAGGACCGAACCGACUUACGUUGAAAAGUGAGCGGAUGAACUGAGGGUAGCGGAGAAAUUCCAAUCGAACCUGGAGAUAGCUGGUUCUCUCCGAAAUAGCUUUAGGGCUAGCCUCAAGUGAUGAUUAUUGGAGGUANUGAUGAUUAUUGGAGGUAGAGCACUGUUUGGACGAGGGGCCCCUCUCGGGUUACCGAAUUCAGACAAACUCCGAAUGCCAAUUAAUUUAACUUGGGAGUCAGAACAUGGGUGAUAAGGUCCGUGUUCGAAAGGGAAACAGCCCAGACCACCAGCUAAGGUCCCAAAAUAUAUGUUAAGUGGAAAAGGAUGUGGCGUUGCCCAGACAACUAGGAUGUUGGCUUAGAAGCAGCCAUCAUUUAAAGAGUGCGUAAUAGCUCACUAGUCGAGUGACACUGCGCCGAAAAUGUACCGGGGCUAAACAUAUUACCGAAGCUGUGGAUUGUCCUUUGGACAAUGGUAGGAGAGCGUUCUAAGGGCGUUGAAGCAUGAUCGUAAGGACAUGUGGAGCGCUUAGAAGUGAGAAUGCCGGUGUGAGUAGCGAAAGACGGGUGAGAAUCCCGUCCACCGAUUGACUAAGGUUUCCAGAGGAAGGCUCGUCCGCUCUGGGUUAGUCGGGUCCUAAGCUGAGGCCGACAGGCGUAGGCGAUGGAUAACAGGUUGAUAUUCCUGUACCACCUAUAAUCGUUUUAAUCGAUGGGGGGACGCAGUAGGAUAGGCGAAGCGUGCGAUUGGAUUGCACGUCUAAGCAGUAAGGCUGAGUAUUAGGCAAAUCCGGUACUCGUUAAGGCUGAGCUGUGAUGGGGAGAAGACAUUGUGUCUUCGAGUCGUUGAUUUCACACUGCCGA